CUUGCGUGGAGCCCCAGAUCGAGGGAGAUUAUCAGUGGUCUUGUAUGUCUUCCAUUUCCUAAUAAUUGCUCCCACAGUUGAUUUCUUCAAACCAAGCUGCUUACCUAUUGCAGAUUCAGUCUUCCCAGCCUGGUGCAGGUCUACAAUUUUGUUUCUGGUGUCCUUUGACAGCUCUUUGGUCUUGGCCAUAGUGGAGUUUGUAGUGUGACUGUUUGAGGUUGUGGACAGGUGUCUUUUAUACUGAUAACAAGUUCAAACAGGUGCCAUUAAUACAGGUAACGAGUGGAGGACAGAGGAGCCUCUUAAAGAAGAAGUUACAGGUCUGUGAGAGCCAGAAAUCUUGCUUGUUUGUAGGUGACCAAAUACUUAUUUUCCACCAUAAUUUGCAAAUAAAUUCAUAAAAAAUCCUACAAUGUGAUUACAUGGAUUUCUUUUCCGCAUUUUGUCUGUCAUAGUUGACGUGUACCUAUGAUGAAAAUUACAGGCCUCUCAUCUUUUUAAGUGGGAGAACUUGCACAAUUGGUGGCUGACUAAAUACCUUUUUGCCCCACUGUAUGUAAAUGUGAUAUUUCAGUUUUUUUCUUUUUAAUAAAUUAGCAGAAAUUUCUAAACCUGUUUUUGAUUUGUGAUUAUUGGGUAUUGUGUGUAAAUUGCUGAGGGGAAAAAAUAUUUAAUCCAUUUUAGAACAAGGCUGUAACGUAACAAUGUGGAAAAGGGGUCUGAAUUCUUUCCCAACGCACUUUGUCUAGUCCUAGAGACAAUCCAAGAAUUCAUAUGAAAACUAAAUAUAUGGGCUAAUACAAGACAAGCAUGCAAUCCUUUCAUGGUCCCACUAUGAAUGCUUUGAAAUCCCCUGCAGGACCACUGUUGUGUUCCAGAAAACAGAAUCAUUAUAUCGAUCUGGUUCAUGUAAAAAGCUGAACUUGAAUAUGGGUUGUCAAGUAACCCACACCAUGCACAUUUUACACAUCUGUAUUGCUCAAAAAUAUGAAUUCAUUUCAGGGUCAUCUGGCCAACUCAAUGAUCUUGCAUUCUGGAACAGACAGACCACAUACCAACUCAGCACUGAUGAGAAACACCGAGUACAAUAGGAGAGAAAUAACUGGCAAAACAAAUGCAGGAUUUUAUUAGUUGUGGUAAGUAGUUGUGCAGUUCAGUAGCCGUGUGGUCAGUAGUUGUGGUGAGUAGUUGUGUGGUUGUUGUUGUGGUCAGUAGGUGUGGUCAGUAGUUGUGGUGAGUAGUUGUGUGGUUGUUGUUGUGGUCAGUAAUUGUGGCGAGUAGUUGUGUGGUUGUUGUUGUGGUCGGUAGGUGUGGUCAGUAGUUGUGGUCAGUAGUUGUGUGGUUGUUGUUGUGGUCAGUAGGUGUGGUUGUUGUUGUGGUCAGUAGUUGUGGUGAGUAGUUGUGUGGUUGUUGUUGUGGUCAGUAAUUGUGGUGAGUAGUUGUGUGGUUGUUGUUGUGGUCAGUAGGUGUGGUCAGUAGUUGUGUGGUUGUUGUAGUCAGUAGUUGUGGUGGGUAGUUGUGUGGUCAGUGGCUGUGGUCAGUAGUUCUGUUGCUGGUUCUUUGGGCCCUAUAAUAUGGACAUGAUCAGCAGAUGUGUUGUGGUCAGUAGUUGUAUUGUGGUCAGUAGUUGUAGUCAGUGAGUGUGUGGUUGUGGUCAGUAGUUGUGUGGUUGUGGUAGUAGUUGUGUGGUAGUCAGCAGUUGUGUUGUGGUCAGUAGAUGUAGUUAGUGGUUGUGAGGUUGUGGUCAGUAGUUGUGUGAUUCAGACGUUGUGUGGUCAGUAGCUAUGUUCAGUAGUUCUGUUGUUAUUUAGUAGGUGUGUGGUUGUGGUCAGUAGUUGUGUGGUUCUCGUCAGUAGUUGCGGUCUGUAGUUUGUCAGUAGUUGUGGUCAGUGGCUGUGGUCAGUAGUUCUGUUGCUGGUUCUUUGGGCCCUAUAGUAUGGACAUGAUCAGUAGUUGUGUUGUGGUCAGUAGUUGUGUGAUUCAGACGUUGUGUGGUCAGUAGCUAUGUUCAGUAGUUCUGUUGUUAUUUAAUAGGUGUGUAGUUGUGGUCAGUUGUUGUGUGGUUGUCGUCAGUAGUUGCGGUCUGUAGUUUGUCAGUAGCUGUGUGGCUGAGGUCAGCUGUUGUGUGGUUCAGUUGUUGUGUGGUCAGUAGUUAUGUUCAGUAGUUCUGUUGUUAUUCAGUAGUUGUGUGGUUUUGGUUAGUAGUUGUGGUCAGUAGUUAUGCUCAGUGGUUGUGGUCAGUAGUCAUUUUGUUGGUACUUUCGGCCCUACUGUAUGGAGUCGUGUGGUCAGUAGUCAUGUGGUUUUGGUCAGUAAUUGUGUGGUUGUAGUCAGUAGCUGUGUGGUCAGUAGUUGUGGUCAGUAGUUGUGUGUUUGAGCCGUAGUUCUGUGGUCAAUAGUGUUGGUCAGUAGUGGUCAGUAGGUAUGGUCGGUAGUUGAUUGGUUGUGGUAAUUAGUUAUGAUCAGUGGAUCUGGUCAGUAGUUGUGAUGUCAGUAUUUGUGGUCAGUAGGUGUGAUCAGUAGUUGUGGUUGUGGUCAUUAGUUAUUUUGCUGGUUCUUUGGCCCUACAGUAUGGACAUGGUCAGUAGUUGUGGUCAGUAAUUGUGGUUGUAGUCAGUAGUUGUGCAGUUCAGUAGCUGUGUGGUCAGUAGUUGUGUGGUUGUGGUCAGUAGUUGUGGUCAGUGGUUCUGGUCGGUCGUUAUUUGGUCAGUAGUUUUGGUCAGUCGUUGUGUCCUUUGGACCCUACAUUAUGGACGUGGUCAUUCGUUGUGGUCAGUAAUCCAGGUCAGUAGUUGUGUGGUUCAGUAGUUGUGUAGUUGUAUGGUCAGUAGUUGUGUAGUUGUGGUCAGUAGUUGUGAUCAGUAGUGUUGGUCAGUAAUGCUUAGUGUCUGUGUGGUUAAGUAGUUGUGUGGUUAAAUACACAGCUGUACAUUUCGAUGAAACAUGGUGAAGCCACAAAAUUGCCUACCCUGGAAGCCUGUGUUUCAUACUUAAGGAAGUGGAUGGCGGCAAAUGUUCUUCUUUUAAACUCGGACAAAACAGAGAUGCUAGUUCUAGUCCCUAGAAACAAAGAGAUCUUCUGUUGAAUCUGACAAUUAAUCUUGAUGAUUGUACAGUUGUCUCAAAUAAAACUGUGAAGGACCUCGGCGUUACUCUGGACCCUGAUCUCUCUUUUGAAGAACAUAUCAAGAAUAAUUCAAGGACAGCUUUUUUCGAUCUACGCAACAUUGCAAAAAUCAGAAACUGUCCAAAAAUUAUGCAGAAAAAUUAAUCCAUGCUUUUGUCACUUCUAGGUUAGACUACUGCAAUGCUCUACUUUCCGGCUACCUGG
rnacentral:lncRNA from 1 species